rnacentral:misc_RNA from 1 species
GAAAUGCGAUAAGUAGUGUGAAUUGCAGAAUUCAGUGAAUCAUCGAAUCUUUGAACGCACAUUGCGCUUCCUGGUAUUCCGGGGAGCAUGCUCGUUUCAGAAUCAUUAAAAACUCACGCUCUUUGGUUUGCUCACACACUGUGACAGGCUAUUAGAUGCGUGGAUGUGAGCGUUUUUGGCUACAGUCAGCAUCGCUUUAAAAUGAUUAUGUACGCAACCCUUGCCUUUGGCGGGCUGCCAACAGUGCGACAAUGUUUUUAACAUGUUCAUUUUUGGCUGCUGCGGAAGGCUGGCGCGUGUAACUCUACUCCAACACAAAACGUAUGGCAUACGCCUAUGCUUUGAAACUUGGUCUGAAAUCGAGCAAGAAAACCCGCUGAACUUAA